CGCACUGCGAAGCUCAGAAGAGUGUUUUCACAGCCAGAGUGGCUCCUGCGGGUCCCACCGCUGCAUGCAGACAGAGAACACGGUGCCUCCCCAAAGAGGAGCGUGUCCUCAGCCAUGCUGCUCAAACACCUCAGUGAGGACAUGGCACAGAGGAGCCCAACGCGUUCCAGUUGCAUUCAGGCCCCUCAGCAUGGCUCUGGGGGAAGGAGGAGACGUGGCUGUGCUGCAGUGCGAGCAGUGCCCGAAGAUUUAGGUUAUGGGAAUGUUGGUUCCAGAGGCAGUGUGAUUCAUGCUGAAACCAUCCGGUGCCAUCUGAUGCACACGUCCACCCAAAGGUAGAGGCAGUGCUGUGCGCUGCGAGCUGCUCCACUCUGAGUUCUCAUUGCAGAACAACUACAACGGCAGAGAACAAGAAAUGGCUGCAUUCUGCCAAAGAGGAUGACUUGCUGUUUAUGGAAAGCACUCGAGUGCAGGAGAGAUCGUGCUACAGUUAAACAGACAAUGCUUAAAGGGCCAUUGCCCACGCUUGGUUUAACAGAGCCUUUCUCACUGAUUUCCAAGAAGGAAGGUGUUCUGCAUCUCUGCUGCUGGGCACCACAUCACAAAUGGAUGCUGGAAGGCAAACUAGUGCUACAUUCAGUGGGAUGGAGAAGAUGACUCUGCACUUCAGUUUUUGUGAGAACCGAGAAACUCACUUUUGGUGUAAAUGCGGCACACGUCCCCUUGGUAGCCCAGCACCAUAGCACAUGCAAGAACAUGCUCCUUGUACAUGGAACAGUGGCUGGCAGGUUACUGACUGAGCUGAGACAUCCAGCAGUGGCACAGCCAAGCAAUGUGACCACUGUGUGCUUGGGAGAUCUCUACUGCUCCUAGAGAGCAGUGGGGGUGGUACUGAAACUUGCUUGCAGGUGAGAGAUCAGUUGGGUUAGGAAGCAGCUGCUCCCAUCUGCUCAUCCACAACCUGCCCCGGUCACCAGGCAGGCUGCUGGCCUUCACCACAUCCCUCUUCAUGUCCAACCACACGCCUCGUGGCCGCAGAGCUUCCACAGCUCUCAGUGAGACACUGCAUAAGCAUGAAGUGUUGAGGGUGAGCACUGCAGAGCAUUGAGUUCCG
rnacentral:lncRNA from 1 species